UACGUAGGUGGCACAGCGUUAUCCGGAAUUUACUUGGGCGUAAAGCGCGCGCAGGCGGUUUCUUAAGUCUGAUGUGAAAGCCCACGGCUCAACCGUGGAUGGCCAUUGGAAACUGGGAGACUUGAGUGCAGAAGAGAAGAGUGGAAUUCCACGUGUAGCGGUGAAAUGCGUAGAGAUGUGGAGGAACACCAGUGGCGAAGGCGACUCUUUGGUCUGUAAC
rnacentral:rRNA from 1 species